GCUCUCGUCGUCUAAUGGCUAUGAUAUCAGAUUCCUACCAUUGAUGGCUAGAUAGAUCUGAAGGUUCCGGGUUCGAGUCCCGGCGGGAGUA
rnacentral:tRNA from 1 species